rnacentral:piRNA from 1 species
UGCCAGGUGCGACACUCAACUGUCAUGUUC